rnacentral:rRNA from 1 species
GACAGAGGGUGCAAACGUUGUUCGGAAUUACUGGGCGUAAAGCGCGUGUAGGCGGCUCGGCAAGUCGGGUGUGAAAGCCCCGGGCUCAACCUGGGAAUUGCAUUCGAUACUGGAUAGCUAGAGUUCGGCAGAGGGAAGCGGAAUUUCCGGUGUAGCGGUGAAAUGCGUAGAUAUUGGGAGGAACACCAGUGGCGAAGGCGGCUCACUGGACCGGAACUGACGCUGAGGCGCGAAAGCGUGGGGAGCAAACGGG